GACGAACGCUGGCGGCGUGCCUAACACAUGCAAGUCGAGCGGGGACAUUGCGACAGAAAUGAAGUUUUCGGAUGGAUUUGAAGAUGCAAUGUUCUAGCGGCGGACGGGUGAGUAACGCGUGAGCAACCUGUCCCUUACAGGGGGAUAACACAGCGAAAGUUGUACUAAUACCGCAUAAGACCACAGAGCGACAUCGCUCAGGGGUCAAAGGAGCAAUCCGGUAAGGGGUGGGCUCGCGUCCGAUUAGAUAGUUGGUGAGGUAACGGCCCACCAAGUCGACGAUCGGUAGCCGACCUGAGAGGGUGAUCGGCCACAUUGGGACUGAGACACGGCCCAAACUCCUACGGGAGGCAGCAGUGGGGAAUAUUGGGCAAUGGGGGAAACCCUGACCCAGCAACGCCGCGUGAGGGAAGAAGGUUUUCGGAUCGUAAACCUCUGUCCUUGGUGAAGAGGAAGAGACG
rnacentral:rRNA from 1 species